GGCGGGGGUGGGGGUGCUUCGGUGACAACGGUCAAUCAUGAAGGCGGCAGCGGCGCGGCGACAGAGUCAGCUGUGCCGGGCGGGGGCGGCGCCGGGCCUGCGCCUGUAGGACCUCGGGGCCCGCGCGGCGGGAUGGGGCCCCGGCGCGGGGAGUGAGGCGGCACCAGCGAGAGCGGAACUUGAGCGCAAGGGGCUGCGCCUGCUGCCCCCUCUGGCUUCUCGGCCUUCACCCGCAGCCCCUCGGCGCCCGCGCCCCGCGGGGCCGCGACGGCGACGGCCGGGCAUGUGGCGCUGGGUCCGCCAGCAGCUGGGUCUUGACCCACCCCAUCAAAGUGACACAAGAACUAUUUACAUAGCCAACAGGUUUCCUCAGAAUGGCCUUUACACACCUCAGAAAUUUAUAGAUAACCGAAUAAUUUCAUCUAAGUAUACUGUGUGGAAUUUUGUCCCAAAAAAUUUAUUUGAACAAUUCAGAAGAGUGGCAAACUUUUAUUUUCUUAUUAUAUUUUUGGUUCAGCUUAUGAUUGAUACACCUACCAGUCCAAUUACCAGUGGACUUCCAUUAUUCUUUGUGAUAACAGUAACCGCCAUAAAGCAGGGAUAUGAAGAUUGGUUACGCCAUAACUCAGAUAAUGAAGUAAAUGGAGCUCCUGUUUAUGUUGUUCGAAGUGGUGGCCUUGUAAAAACUAGGUCAAAAAACAUUCGGGUAGGUGAUAUUGUUCGAAUAGCCAAAGAUGAAAUCUUCCCUGCAGACUUGGUGCUUCUCUCCUCGGAUCGACCUGAUGGUUCAUGUCACAUUACAACUGCUAGUUUGGAUGGAGAAACAAACCUAAAGACACAUGUGGCAGUUCCAGAAACAGCAGUAUUACAGACAGUUGCCAAUUUGGACAGUCUUAUAGCUGUAAUAGAAUGCCAGCAACCGGAAGCAGAUUUGUACAGAUUCAUGGGACGAAUGAUAAUAACUCAGCAAAUGGAAGAAAUUGUAAGGCCUCUGGGCCCAGAGAGUCUCUUACUUCGUGGAGCCAGAUUAAAAAACACAAAAGAAAUUUUUGGUGUUGCUGUGUACACCGGAAUGGAAACUAAAAUGGCAUUAAAUUAUAAGAGCAAGUCACAGAAAAGAUCUGCUGUGGAAAAGCUCACCUGCAGGGCACAUCUUGCGUUUGUGGCAGCAUCCAGGACUGUUCUGUUCAGUUGGACAAAUCAUGUGCACCAGCAUCACGUGAGCAGAUCAAUGAAUACAUUUUUGAUAAUUUACCUAAUAAUCCUUAUUUCUGAAGCCAUCAUCAGUACUAUCCUGAAAUAUACCUGGCAAGCUGAAGAAAAAUGGAAUGAACCUUGGUAUAACCAAAAAACAGAACAUCAGAGAAAUAGUAGUAAGAUUCUGAGAUUUAUUUCUGAUUUCCUUGCUUUUCUGGUACUCUACAAUUUCAUCAUUCCAAUUUCACUGUAUGUAACAGUUGAAAUGCAGAAAUUUCUUGGAUCAUUUUUUAUUGGCUGGGAUCUUGAUCUCUAUCAUGAGGAAUCAGAUCAGAAAGCUCAAGUCAAUACUUCCGAUCUGAAUGAAGAACUUGGACAGGUGAACUACGUGUUUACAGAUAAAACUGGAACACUAACAGAAAAUGAGAUGCAGUUCCGGGAAUGUUCAAUUAAUGGCAUAAAAUACCAAGAAAUCAAUGGUAGACUUGUACCCGAAGGACCAACACCUGACUCUUCAGAAGGAAACUUAUCAUAUCUUAGUGGUUUAUCUCACCUUAGCAACUUAGCCCAUCUUACAAGCAGUUCCUCUUUUAGAACCAGUCCUGAAAAUGAAAAUGAACUAAUUAAAGAACAUGGUCUCUUCUUCAAAGCAGUUAGUCUCUGCCAUACUGUGCAGAUCAGCAAUGUUCAAAGUGAUGGCAUUGGUGAUGGUCCCUGGCAGUCCAGCCUGGCAUCCUCUCAACUAGAGUACUAUGCAUCUUCCCCAGAUGAAAAGGCGCUAGUGGAAGCUGCUGCAAGAAUUGGCAUUGUAUUUAUUGGCAAUUCUGAAGAAAUUAUGGAAAUUAAAAUACUUGGAAAACUGGAACGGUACAGACUGCUUCAUGUUCUGGAAUUUGAUUCAGAUCGUAGGAGAAUGAGUGUAAUUGUUCAAGCAUGUUCAGGUGAGAAGCUUUUAUUUGCUAAAGGAGCAGAAUCAUCAAUACUUCCUAACUGUAUAGGUGGAGACAUAGAGAAAACGAGAAUUCAUGUAGAUGAAUUUGCUUUGAAAGGGCUAAGAACUCUGUGUAUAGCCUAUAGACAGUUUACACCUAAUGAGUAUGAAGAGAUAGACAGACGCCUGUUUGAAGCCAGGACUGCCUUGCAGCAACGGGAAGAGAAAUUGGCUGAAGUCUUUCAGUUCAUAGAGAAAGACCUGAUUUUACUUGGGGCUACAGCCGUAGAAGACAGACUGCAAGAUAAAGUUCAAGAAACUAUUGAAGCAUUGAGAAUGGCUGGUAUCAAAGUGUGGGUACUUACAGGAGACAAACAUGAAACUGCUGUUAGUGUGAGUUUAUCUUGUGGACAUUUUCAUAGAACUAUGAACAUCCUUGAACUUAUUAACCAGAAAUCAGACAACGAAUGUGCUGAACAGUUGAGGCAGCUUGCCAGAAGAAUUACAGAGGAUCAUGUGAUUCAGCAUGGGCUAGUAGUUGAUGGGACCAGCCUAUCUCUUGCACUCAGGGAGCAUGAAAAGCUAUUUAUGGAAGUUUGCAGAAAUUGUUCGGCUGUAUUAUGCUGUCGUAUGGCACCACUGCAGAAAGCAAAAGUAAUAAGACUGAUAAAAAUCUCACCUGAGAAACCUAUAACAUUGGCUGUUGGUGAUGGUGCUAAUGAUGUAAGCAUGAUACAAGAAGCACAUGUUGGCAUAGGAAUCAUGGGUAAAGAAGGAAGACAGGCUGCAAGAAACAGUGACUAUGCAAUAGCUAGAUUUAAAUUCCUCUCCAAACUACUUUUUGUUCAUGGUCAUUUUUAUUAUAUCAGAAUAGCUACCCUUGUACAGUAUUUUUUUUAUAAGAAUGUGUGCUUUAUCACACCCCAGUUUUUAUAUCAGUUCUACUGUUUGUUUUCUCAGCAAACACUGUAUGACAGCAUGUACCUGACUUUGUACAAUAUUUGUUUUACUUCCCUACCUGUUCUGAUAUAUAGUCUUUUGGAACAGCAUAUAGACCCUCAUGUAUUACAGAACAAGCCUACUCUCUACAGGGAUAUUAGUAAAAACCAUCUCUUAAGCAUUAAAACGUUUCUUUAUUGGACUAUCCUGGGUUUCAGUCAUGCCUUUAUUUUCUUUUUUGGAUCCUAUUUUCUGAUGGGGAAAGAUACAUCUCUUCUUGGAAAUGGCCAGAUGUUUGGAAACUGGACAUUUGGCACUUUGGUCUUCACAGUCAUGGUUAUUACAGUCACAGCAAAGAUGGCUUUGGAAACUCAUUUUUGGACUUGGAUCAACCAUCUUGUUACAUGGGGAUCUAUUAUAUUUUAUUUUAUAUUUUCUUUAUUUUAUAGUGGGAUUCUCUGGCCAUUCUUGAGCUCCCAGAAUAUGUACUUUGUAUUUAUUCAGCUCCUAUCAAGUGGUUCUACUUGGUUUGCCAUAACUCUUAUGGUUGUUACAUGUCUAUUUCUUGACAUUGUGAAGAAGGUAUUUGGCCGACACCUCCAUCCUACAAGUACUGAAAAGGCACAGCUUACUCAAACAAAUUCAAGUAUCAAGUGCUUGGACUCCAUGUGCUGUUUCCCAGAAGGAGAAGCAGCAUGUGCAUCUGUUAGAAGAAUGCUGGAACGAGCUAUAGGGAGAUGUAGCCCCACCCACAUCAGCAGGUGUGACAUUUCUCUAAGUAGCCUUUGCUGCAGAUGAGCGUCCUGUAACCUGGAACAGGACGAACCUGCAGCUUUAGGUGCCCAGUAAAUCAGCAGCUGGUUUUACCAACUGAAGGAGGAAGUCUGCUAUUUGUUAGCACUCUGAUGGUAGACUUACUUCACUUCAUGGCUUUGGGUGGGGUACUUUCACUUACAAAGGAAGAAAAAGCACCUUUGAAGAGACUGCAUCCAGUGAACAAAACAAUCCUGUUUUAUAAUCACUCUCAAAUGUGGUGGAUAGGAGUGUGUAUGUGGUACUUUUUCUUGGUUUGUAUAACUUUCUUUUUUAAAUUAUACUGCUGUUUCAUUUUCUGCUGAUUUUUCCUCUGCUUUUUGUCUUUACAAAGUAAUCUCCAUACACAGUAAAAUCAGAAGUCUUUGCUUUUCUUAUUCUUCAUGUAUAUUUUCCAGUCAUUCAGGGUUAAACACAGAAGGCUGUAUUUCUGUUUCCUGACCCUUUUUAAUAUCUGUAAUGAAGUUUUGAAAUGAAUUGUGAUUUUUUACUUUUACUUGGCAUUUAUUAAGUAAAUUAUGGAUCAGAACAAUCUUAGCAGUUUUGUCCCCUCCCAAAUCUAUUUCUUGAAUCAGAUUUAUUAUAGUUUCCUUUUAUGAAUCAUAACCAGAAAAAGACAGUUAUUGGUAAAUACCAUUUAAAAAUCAUUUAAAGGUGAAAUGGAUUCAUUUCUUCAUAUUUCUCCAUAUGUUUGCCCAAGGUGUAUAUCAUUAUUGAGGGAAACUACGGAAUAAGAACUCACUUUCUCUCCGUUUGGUGUUGGUUGGGUGAAUGAUAUCAUAUUCACAAGAUGAAAGCAGCGUCUCCCUGGCGUCCAUGAGGGUCACAAUGGCCUCAGACAGACGUCGAUUCCGUCCUCCCCAAGGUGCCACAUGGGCAGCACCACUCUCUCUGGGCCGCUGCUUAGAAAAGCUUCCUUCCUCGAGGCAAGGAGCAAGGAGGGAGAGAGCACUACUUUUACCUAUUGGCAAAAGAAUUGUUUCAGUGAUCAUGGAGUGCCUCGGAUCCUUUCUGUACCAACGACAGGAGCGUCCUGACUCUCUCCACAAUGGACUCAUCUACUUGCUAAAGGGGCAGUAGUACUUGUAGAGCGAUUUCACCUCCUUCCCUCAAAUUCAGGGCUGAUUGUCCUAUAAAUGGCCACUCUAGCCCUGAAAUCACUCUGAAAUCUCUGGAGUAGUUCAGACCCACUCCAAACAAACAGAAAACAUUAACAUGAACCCCUCUCUUCUCCCCUUAAUUUGAAUAUGAACAUGUCAAAGUUUGUGAAUAAAGAGAGUUUCACUCUUUUUGUCUGGGUUAUCCCUGGGCACAUGGGACUCCUAAUGGCAUUUCAGCAUGUUGCUGAAGUCGUUGAGAUCACUCCUACUUAAGUGUAUUUUUUAGGAUUAGAUUAGUUAUUGACUUCUAUUUAAAUCUGCUUCUGUAAAUUAUGCUGAAAGUUUGCCUUGAGAACUCUAUUUUUUUAUUAGAGUUAUACUUAAAGCUUUUCAUGGGAAAAGUGAAUGUGAAUAUUAAGAAAUUUUGGUACCUCAGUGAUUUGUAUCGUUAAUUCAUUAGUAAGUUUUAAGUUCACAGAGCAAACUAGGAGAACAAAUUUCCCCUUAUUGACUGCAGUGUGGGUAGUAAAUUGAUGCCAGUACCAAGUUUCUCUAAACACGCUGUGCCAGUAAAGUGUAAAUGCAAAGGGUCUGUUAUAGAAUCAGAAAUCAGGUCUGUUCACCAAAUUUCAAAGUGAUGUUUACUAAAUUUUUUGCCCAAAUAUAAAGAAGCUAUAGUGGGUAGAUUAGAGAUCAUUACAGGCCAGGGAUGUAGCUCAGUGGUUCCAUCACCUGCCUCCCAAGCACAAGGUCCUGAGUUCGAUCCCUGGUACCAAGAAAAAAAAAGAGAUCAUUAUAUUAUUAAUUUAAUGUUUUCAUCAUUGGCUCUUUUGCAUGCUUUAACCUGGCUAAUAUAAAUUUGGUUUUUUCCUCUCUAUCCAAAAGCUUUGUUUAUAAUAGUAUUUUAUGACAAUGUUGUAAAGUUCAGCUAUAUCAAUAAAAAACAAGUUUGGACAGUAUUUGUAUAUUGCAAAUAGUUUUAAUUAUACAAAUCAAAAUAUGGCUCAUUAGAUCAAUAGUAAGAGGAGAGCCCCUCUUUGUGACCAACUUAGAAUUACUCCUGCCUUUCUGUAAGCUAAAGUUUAGGAUAAAGGAUUUCUGUUAAGAAUUUUGCUGUUUUUCAGUUAGCAUGUUACCUAAGUUAUCGCACACUACAGUAAGGUUAAUUCUGCCCAGUGUCCCAUUACAAGGUAUGCUGUCAGGUGUGGCUAUGAAAUGUAAAUGAAAAAGUCUAAAAUACUAAAUUUUUAGCAGCAAUAAAUUAAAAUGCUAAGAAUGACUAAUCACGUACAUGCUGGUCUAGUUUACUCCUUGCAUCUCAAAACUUAGUUUCCAUCUCAAAUUUGUGUUGUCAUUUAUUUUGUUAAAAGUAAUUUUUUUAAGACCUGGACAUGAUCAUUAGUUUGAGAAUGACUAUCUACAGUAUAUAAUGACCAUAUACAAAAUAAAAAUUAUAAGAAAACAGUUAAGGGCCAGGGAUUUAGCUCAGUGGUGCCACUGCCUGCCUCGCAAGCACAAAGUCCUGAGUUCGAUCCCCAGUACCAAAAAGAAAACAGUUAAAUGAAGUUUUGCCAAAUUGUCCCUUAGGGAUGUAAUUCCGUUUUGGAGAUUCAUUGUACAACUCUUCAUUUCUUUCCCACUUUUGAGACUUGGGCUGGUAGACAAAGAAUGACAGCAGGAAUUAUGACUUCAUCUGUGUUUGCUGGUGUGCUGUUUGCUUGCUAUCUGCCAUUUGUCCUUAAAUAAGGCAAGGAUGGGACCAGGGAUUUAGCUCAAUGGUCCCGGCGCCUGCCUCAAAAGCACAAGGUCCUGAGUUCAAUCCCCAGUACAAAAAUAAUAAUAAUAAUAAUAAUGCAAGGAUGUCCCAUUAUCCAUUUCAGGCUAAAUAUUAAUUUUCAUAAACAGCCUUUCUUGGAUAUUCCAGUUAGGUUUAGAAAGAUCAGUUAUUUUGGAAAUACAUGAAAGGGGGA